rnacentral:rRNA from 2 species
CCUGGCGGCACUAGCGCGGUGGUCCCACCUGACCCCAUGCCGAACUCAGAAGUGAAACGCCGUAACGCCGAUGGUAGUGUGGGGUCUCCCCAUGCGAGAGUAGGGAACUGCCAGGC